rnacentral:rRNA from 1 species
AUUGAACGCUGGCGGCAGGCCUAACACAUGCAAGUCGAACGGUAACAUUUCUAGCUUGCUAGAAGAUGACGAGUGGCGGACGGGUGAGUAAUGCUUGGGAACUUGCCUUUGCGAGGGGGAUAACAGUUGGAAACGACUGCUAAUACCGCAUAAUGUCUACGGACCAAACGGGGCUUCGGCUCCGGCGCAAAGAGAGGCCCAAGUGAGAUUAGCUAGUUGGUAAGGUAACGGCUUACCAAGGCGACGAUCUCUAGCUGUUCUGAGAGGAAGAUCAGCCACACUGGGACUGAGACACGGCCCAGACUCCUACGGGAGGCAGCAGUGGGGAAUAUUGCACAAUGGGGGGAACCCUGAUGCAGCCAUGCCGCGUGUGUGAAGAAGGCC